CGCGUAGGCGGUUCGAUUAGUCGGGUGUGAAAGCCCUGGGCUUAACCUGGGAAUUGCAUUCGAUACUGUCGGGCUAGAGUAUGGUAGAGGAAAGCGGAAUUCCACAUGUAGCGGUGAAAUGCGUAGAUAUGUGGAGGAACAUCAGUGGCGAAGGCGGCUUUCUGGACCAAUACUGACGCUGAGGCGCGAAAGCGUGGGGAGCAAACA
rnacentral:rRNA from 1 species